rnacentral:rRNA from 1 species
AGAGUUUGAUCCUGGCUCAGAUUGAACGCUGGCGGCAUGCUUUACACAUGCAAGUCGAACGGCAGCACGGGCUUCGGCCUGGUGGCGAGUGGCGAACGGGUGAGUAAUGCAUCGGAACGUGCCCAUUUGUGGGGGAUAACUACGCGAAAGCGUGGCUAAUACCGCAUACGCCCUGAGGGGGAAAGCGGGGGAUUCUUCGGAACCUCGCGCAAUUGGAGCGGCCGAUGUCAGAUUAGCUUG